rnacentral:rRNA from 1 species
AUACGGAGGAUGCGAGCGUUAUCCGGAUUUAUUGGGUUUAAAGGGUGCGUAGGCUGUGCGUUAAGUCAGGGGUGAAAUGCCGUCGCUCAACGACGGAGCUGCCCUUGAUACUGGCGUGCUGGAGUACGGAUGCCGUUGGAGGAAUGAGUGGUGUAGCGGUGAAAUGCUUAGAUAUCACUCAGAACACCGAUUGCGAAGGCAUCUGACGAAUCCGUCACUGACGCUGAGGCACGAAAGCGUGGGGAUAGAACAGGAUUAGAUACCCUGGUAUUCCACGCCGUAAACGAUGAUGACUAACCGUCGGCGAUAGACAGCCGGUGGCCAAGCGAAAGCGAUAAGUCAUCCACCUGGGGAGUACGUCGGCAACGAUGAA